rnacentral:lncRNA from 1 species
CACAGCACCCGGGACCACACGAACCACUCCAGAGGAGAGCCCAGUCCUUCUGAAGCCCCAGCAGUCAUUUCAGCACAUAGCAAAAUGCCUAAAAGUGUUUCAAUAUCUAAACAACUGGCUUCAAUAAAAGCUUUGAAAAGGGGGUCAGAUCUGGAAAAAGCCAUGGCUACUAUUGCUCUGGUUUUCAGAAAUGCUUCUGAUCCUGAUGGUAAACUUGGGAAAGCCACUGCCAAGAAUCUGCUUCAAACCCAAUUUAGGAAUUUCACUGAGCAUCUCUAAAUAUGAAGUUUAUACACAAUGGAGGUUCACUUCUUUAUCUUCAGAGAGAGGAAACCAAGCCAAAAUCCCGAGACCUCCUUUCUGAGCUUGAUGAGCACACAGAAAAGAAGCUGGACUUUGAAGACUUCGUGAUCUUGCUCCUGAGCCUCGCCAUCAUGUCAGAUCUGCUACAAAAUAUAUGGAGUGAAAAUACUAUGAAAUAAACAACUUUAAACACAUGAGC